rnacentral:rRNA from 1 species
AUUGAACGCUGGCGGCAUGCCUUACACAUGCAAGUCGAACGGUAACGCGGGGCAACCUGGCGACGAGUGGCGAACGGGUGUGUAAUGCAUCGGAACGUGCCCAGAAGUGGGGGAUAGCCCGGCGAAAGCCGGAUUAAUACCACAUGAGACCUGAGGGUGCAACCGGGGGAUCGCAAGACCUCGCGCUUUUGGAGCGGCCGAUGUCAGAUUUGCUAGUUGGUGGGGUAAAGGCCUACCAAGGCGACGAUCUGUAGCUGGUCUGAGAGGACGACCAGCCACACUGGGACUGAGACACGGCCAAGGCUACUACGAGAGGCAGCAGAGGGGAAUGUUGGACAAUGGGCGCAAGCCUGAUCCAGCCAUGCCGCGUGCGGGAAGAAGGCCUUCGGGUUGUAAACCGCUUUUGUCAGGGAAGAAACGCUCUGGGCUAAUACCCUGGGGUAAUGACGGUACCUGAAGAAUAAGCACCGGCUAACUACGUG